CCUGGGAGGGCCCGGCAGGAGAUGGGGAAAUGGAGGGACUUGGCGCCUGGAAACUUCCUGGGGCCGGACGAGGCCUCCUCUUUGGAACCUCCGUGACCGUGCCUCUGAGAAACCAGCGCGUCGGAAACGACCACUCCUAAUUUUCCGUAAUACAAAGCUGCAGUCAGUGCACUUAGGAUUCCUAUCGUCUGUCUCCACGUGAUAACACUAAAGAGCCUUUACAUCUAUACCGGCCCAGGGCCUCAAGUGCAGAGACUGAGAGCUCUGCAGGACACAGCGUGGAGCUGCCAUUCCUCUACCGUUCCGUGAUCGAGUGGAAGAGCAUGUGUACUCUGAACAGGGGAUCCAAACCCUGAGAUGUUCUUUCCCAGCAGUCAGUGCGGCACAGGACUUUCUGUGGGAAUGCUAAGAGAGCAGGGGCCAGAGGGCUUUUAGCCAUCACCUCCCAUGGCCAGUCUUCACAAAUUACCUUUGGCUAAUUUGAUGAUCUCUCCUCUUGGGGUCUAGGACUUCAAACAUGUGCAGAAGCAAUUGCAGAAUUGAGGCAAGACAUUGUUCCACAGUAUAUUUUUUGUAUCACUGGCUCAGAAAAAGACUCAUUGAAAUCCUGUAUCAAAGCCGUGUGUGAACAUCUUGAGAAAGCAUCGGUUCACUGACUUGACAAGGGAGGAGGCAACCAAGAAUUCUGCCCUUUUUCAGUGCCUGAGUGUGAUAUUUUGCCUCAACAUCCCUCUUAGAUGAAAUUGUUGAUUGAAAAUCAUUUAAGUUUUUGCCCCAUGAUAAAAGAUCAGGUCCUCAGAAAGAGCUCCAAAGCAUUUACUGUUUGUUUGGUUUUGUUUUGUUUUGGUAAGUUUACCAUGAUUUUGCUUGAAUUGCUGUCUGUUGAUCUUCUCAGCUAAGAUGGAGGUAGAGUUGCACAGUGGAAGAGGACUGCAUAUAAGGAGGCAGCUCUGUCUCAGAGGACAAAAGGCCUGGGAGCACCCAGACAGGCAGUCACUCCCCUCCCAGUGGCCACUGUGGAGGUAUUUCAUAGAAAUGCUUGCUGGACCAUUCAGGUUUAGAGUUGGGACAAAACUGAGAACUCUUGAGAAUAUUGGACAGGAGUUAGGAAAUGACCUUCUCAUGCAGCUGGGGCAAGGAGGGGAGAACCUUGGGAUUGAAACUUGCAGUCCACCGCCUGCCCCUGCAGUGUGGCCCCUGUUACAUUUUCCUGCAACUCUGCCUUCUUGAGUGCAAAUGUCUCCGAAAGGGGCAAAUGCUUUGUAAGUGCCAACAGGGUGUGUUUCAGCGAAUGUUCACAGUGUGCACCGAUCCAGCUGAAGGCCUCUUCCCUUCCCCAUCACCCUCCCAUCAGUGCAAAAUUACCCUGCCCAGCAGGGAGUGAGGUGUGUGUCUCAGAAGAUUUUGUUGCUGUGCUCUUGAGUACUCACUCCUCAUCUCCUUUGACCAGUUUCCUAACACUCCCCUUGUUCACAACACAGAACAUGAGUGUUCUUUCCUGUCAUUGUGAUGCUGAUAAGCAGACAGUGAUUUCAGUGUGAAAAUGAGAAUGAAGUUUUUUUUUUUAAAGACAGGCUACAAUAAUUCCCACGCAGAGAGCCACAUACGAUGACACUGGAUUCCAAACAGCAAGAAUGUAUGGAGAAGAUGAGACCAACAGUGAGCUGAGAGAGGCCAGCCAGGAUUCACAUAUGCGAGGGGAUGCAUGGGAAUGGGGAUGGGACGUUGGUGGAUAGCAUCCUGGCUUGUCUCAGAAUGGACAUGGGUUGUGGAUUUCUAACUCCUGGAGAAACCAGAGUUCUAGGAAUUGUAAGCUGCUUUAUGUUAGGAAAGCAAAGAUGGUGUUCUGCCCUUCUGUCCCUUACAACUGUGCAUACUGCCACUAAACCUGGAAGCUGAGAAGGGUAUAAUGGCUACUCCUGACUUCUCAUCAAAUCAGCCUGCUAUUGUUUUCUGCAAUGGUUGUGUUUUGUGGUGAAGCCAAGAUUCACACCUGAGUCUCCUUACUGCAAGUUCUCACUCUCACAGUGGAGGGUUAACAAUAAUCACUUCAUAUGUUGCACUUUUUUGGAAAGAGUUACCAGAUAAAGUGCAAGAUCCCGGUGAAAUGUGAAUAACAGAUAAAGGAAAAACAGAUUUUUUGUAAAAGUGUACUCUAAAUAUCACAUGGAUCACAAUUAUAAUAAAAACUAAUUCACUGUUUUAUCUUGAAUUCAAAUUCCACUUGGUAUUUGUUAUUCAUACUUGCUAAA